UACGGGGGGUGCAAGCGUUAUUCGGAAUCAUUGGGCGUAAAGGGCGCGUAGGCGGUCUUUUAAGUCAGAUGUGAGAGCCCUCGGCUUAACCGAGGAAGUGCGUUUGAUACUAAGAGACUUGAGUAUGGGAGAGGGAAGCGGAAUUCCUGGUGUAGCGGUGAAAUGCGUAGAUAUCAGGAGGAACACCGGUGGCGAAGGCGGCUUCCUGGACCAAUACUGACGCUGAGGCGCGAAGGCGUGGGGAGCAAACAGG
rnacentral:rRNA from 1 species